rnacentral:rRNA from 1 species
AAACCAGCACCUCAAGUGGUCAGGAGGAUUAUUGGGCCUAAAGCAUCCGUAGCCUGUUCUGUAAGUUUUCGGUUAAAUCCACUAGCUCAACUAGUGGGCCGCCGAAAAUACUGUAGAACUAGGGAGUGGGAGAGGUAGACGGUAUUCGGUAGGAAGGGGUAAAAUCCUUUGAUCUAAUGAGGACCACCUGUGGCGAAGGCGGUCUACCAGAACACGUUCGACGGUGAGGGAUGAAAGCUGGGGGAGCAAACCGGAUUAGAAACCCGAGUAGUCC